rnacentral:lncRNA from 1 species
CUCUCAUCUCUUAAACAAAACCCAAUUGAGCUUCUCCCUCGAAUCCCUCUACAUGCUCCAUCAGUAUUCACUUUUAUCCAACCUCUUGGUGGGAAUUCCCAUAGCACUUUAUCGAACUUCAGACGGGGUGAAUAUUGGUCCAGCGUAGUUAGAAGAUCAAUCCACUUGUGAGGUAUAUGAUGUCCUGGUUUUUUCAGUUGUACUAGUGAUUGUAGUGUUGAUGAAAUUAGGUAGAUAACUCUACUUACUGACACUACUUUGCCGUAUUUCAAACUAUUUCUUCUCUUCCAUAACUCCCAUACAAUGCAUGCAGGUAAAGCUUGAAAUAUUGACUUCAGUCUAGGUACAA